AGUCAGGUCUCGUUGGUGACCAGCGGAGGGUCAUUACCGAGUUUACAACUCCCAAACCCAAUGUGAACGUUACCAAACUGUUGCCUCGGCGGGGUCACGCCCCGGGUGCGUAAAAGCCCCGGAACCAGGCGCCCGCCGGAGGGACCAACCAAACUCUUUUCUGUAGCCUUCGGGCGUUAUUUCUUACAGCUCUGAGCAAAAAUUCAAAAUGAAUCAAAACUUUCAACAACGGAUCUCUUGGUUCUGGCAUCGAUGAAGAACGCAGCGAAAUGCGAUAAGUAAUGUGAAUUGCAGAAUUCAGUGAAUCAUCGAAUCUUUGAACGCACAUUGCGCCCGCCAGUAUUCUGGCGGGCAUGCCUGUCCGAGCGUCAUUUCAACCCUCGAACCCCCUAGGGGGUCCGGCGUUGGGGAUCGGGAACCCCUAAGACGGGAUCCCGGCCCCGAAAUACAGUGGCGGUCUCGCCGCAGCCUCUCCUGCGCAGUAGUUUGCACAACUCGCACCGGGAGCGCGGCGCGUCCACGUCCGUAAAACACCCAACUUCUGAAAUGUUGACCUCGGAUCAGGUAGGAAUACCCGCUGAACUUAAGCAUAUCAAUAAGCGGAGGAA
rnacentral:rRNA from 1 species